GCUGGGCAUGGUGGUGCAUGCCUGUGGUCCCAGCUACUCAGGAGGCUGAGGUGGGAGGAUCACUUGAGCCCAGGAGGUUGAGGCUGCAGUGAGCUAUGAUCAUGCCACUGCAUUCUAGCCUGGGCAACUGAGUGAGACCCUGUCGCUG
rnacentral:SRP_RNA from 1 species